CAGCCGCGCGGGAAUACGUAGGGUGCGAGCGUUAAUCGGAAUUACUGGGCGUAAAGCGUGCGCAGGCGGUUGUGUAAGACAGGUGUGAAAUCCCCGGGCUUAACCUGGGAACUGCGCUUGUGACUGCACAGCUAGAGUAUGGCAGAGGGGGGUGGAAUUCCACGUGUAGCAGUGAAAUGCGUAGAGAUGUGGAGGAACACCGAUGGCGAAGGCAGCCCCCUGGGCCAAUACUGACGCUCAUGCACGAAAGCGUGGGGAGCAAACAGGAUUAGAUACCCGCGUAGUCCCUGUCUCUUAUACA
rnacentral:rRNA from 1 species